rnacentral:rRNA from 1 species
UGCCAGCCUCCUCGGUAAGACGGAGGGUGCUAUCGUUGUUCGGAAUUACUGGGCGUAAGGAGCAUGUAGGCGGAUGAAUUAGUCAGAGGUGAAAGCCCCGAGCUCAACUUGGGAACUGCCUUUGAUACUGUUUAUCUAGAGUCCGAGAGAGGUUAGUGGAAUUCCCAGUGUAGAGGUGAAAUUCGUAGAUAUUGGGAAGAACACCAGUGGCGAAGGCGGCUUUCUGGACCGAUACUGACGCUGGGACGCGAAAGCGUGGGGAGCAAACAGGAUUAGAUA